GAUAAACGCUGGCGGUGUACAUAAGACAUGCAAGUCGAACGGGAGAAACUGAGAUGGAUUUAUUCAACUUAGCAGACACCGUGGCGGAUGGGUGAGUAACACGUAAGCAACCUGCCUAAAAGAGGGGAAUAACAGAGAGAAAUUUCUGAUAAUACCGCAUAUACCAAAGUAUCGCAUGGUACAAUUGGGAAAGAUUUAUCACUUUUAGAUGGGCUUGCGUCUGAUUAGCUAGUUGGUGAGAUAAUAGCUCACCAAGGCGACGAUCAGUAGCCGGAUUGAGAGGUUGAACGGCCACAUUGGGACUGAGACACGGCCCAGACUCCUACGGGAGGCAGCAGUCGGGAAUAUUGCACAAUGGAGGAAACUCUGAUGCAGUGACACCGCGUAUAGGAAGAAGGCCUUAGGGUUGUAAGCUAUUGUCGUGUGAGAAGAAAAUGACUAUCACAGGAGGAAGCCCUGGCUAAAUAUGUGCCAGCAGCCGCGGUAAUACAUAUGGGGCGAGCGUUAUCCGGAUUUAUUGGGUGUAAAGGGUUCGUAGGCGGGAAAGUAAGUCAGUAUGUGAAAUCCCUCGGCUCAACCGAGGAACUGCGAUUGAAACUAUUUUUCUUGAGUACUGGAGGGGAAAGUGGAAUUCUUAGUGUAGCGGUGAAAUGCGUAGAUAUUAGGAAGAACACCAGUGGCGAAGGCGACUUUCUGGACAGUAACUGACGCUGAGGAACGAAAGUGUGGGGAGCAAACAGGAUUAGAUACCCUGGUAGUCCACACUGUAAACGAUGGAUACUAGGGGUUGGCAUAGGAAAUGUCGGUCCCGCAGUUAACGCAUUAAGUAUCCCACCUGGGGAGUACGACCGCAAGGUUAAAACUCAAAGGAAUUGACGGGGGCCCGCACAAGCAGUGGGGUAUGUGGUUUAAUUCGACGCAACGCGAAGAACCUUACCAGGGCUUGACAUGAUUAGGAAUAUAUAAGAGAUUAUAUAGCUCUACGGAGUCUAAUUACAGGUGGUGCAUGGUUGUCGUCAGCUCGUGUCGUGAGAUGUUGGGUUAAGUCCCUAAACGAGCGCAACCCUUAUCACUAGUUGCUAACAUUAAGUUGAGGACUCUAGUGAGACUGCCGUUUAUUAAAACGGAGGAAGGAGAGGAUGACGUCAAAUCAUCAUGCCCUUUAUGUCCUGGGCUACACACGUACUACAAUGGGUAGGACAAAGGGAAGCAACGGAGUGAUCCUGAGCAAAACCCAAAACCUAUUCACAGUUCGGAUUGAAGGCUGAAAUUCGCCUUCAUGAAGCCGGAAUUGCUAGUAAUGGCAGGUCAGCAUACUGCCGUGAAUACGUUCCCGGGCCU
rnacentral:rRNA from 1 species